UUGAGAUAAGUUUCACAACCUAAGAAAGGCGCCUCACUCCUUGAGUUUCAUCGCCUCCCAAAAGAAUAUCAAGAUCAGGGUUCAUCGCCUUGCAAUUUUUGUAAGCUUACCUGAGAAAUCAGUGUCUGUGGUAAUUUCUAAUCCUGAUUUGUUGAAUUGCAUCUUAUUAUCAACUUCACCAUCAUGUCAAUAUAGUCAUUAGAAAUGGAUAAAUUAGAUACUGCUUGUGAUGAUGAAAUUGAUUGCUGUUUAGAUUGUGAUGUUGAAUUGUUUAGUCACUGUAAUAGUGUGAUUUACUUAUGGAUUUAUGAUUUUGGGGGUUGUAUGUUUCUUUAACCCAUCCACUGAAGAAUACAAAAAUACCUUAAUCACCUUAGGAAGAUUCCGAUUUGAAUGAUUCCCUACAAGAGAUGGGGUUUGUCUCCUGCGAGAAGUUCAAAGAGACAGAAGACCACUAUUGAUAGUGGUGGUGAAAACAGUAAUGAGAAUGAGAACGAGAUAAUCUUCAUUCUUGAAUGAGCAUAGAAUUUCUUUAAGGAUGGUGGUUGUUUGGUUCGCUUCUGAGAAGAAGAUGAUGGCAAUAAUGCUUGUUUGUGACUCAAAUGGGUUAUAUACUAUGCCGUAAAUCUUUUAAAGCAUUUGCUUAGCGGGUUUGUAAUCUCCAAAGGUUUGAUUAAGAGAAACUCCACAGAACUACUGUGGCAGCUGCUCAAGAUAUACUAAGAUUGUUCUAGUGGUGGUUGUCAGUGUUGGGUUAUACCAUGUGAUGCUGAGAGAACGCAAGUGGACAACAGGUUGGUGAAAACUUCGUGUUGAGCAUUUGAAGACGUCGCCUAUGAUGCGGAGGACAUUUCGUGACAAGAUUCAAAAUGAAAUGCGGAAGACAUUUCGGGAUGUUGCUUACGAUGCGAAUACUUGGAACCCAGUUGGACUCCAUCUCAAGAUGGCUCGUAAAAUCAAAGAUGUUAACCUGAUUUUGUUUCAAGAUGGCUAAGAAAAAUCUAGGAAUACAUUCACUAAAGAAUACAAAAAGGAGGAUGCAUGUUGCUGCAGAAUGCACCCCUUUUACAUAUAGGCAGUCAAGCACCCUUCCUUUUUCGCUAUCUAAAGUGAAAAAUGUAAUAGAGAAACCCCACAAUGAUCAUCUCCCUUUGCUCUUAUAUUCCAAUGUAAGAGCAAACCCCGCAAGUGACUUCAAUCAGGAUUCUCGUCUUUUACUUGUAUUCCUUCUUUGCGAGUUAAAUUACAAUCUUUAUUCUUUUUUCUUUCAAAUUUGGUCGUAAUCUGUCAACCAAUUCACUUGUUUCCUCCUUAUCAACAGAUUGUGUAACUGGGACAUCCUAUCGAAUGUACAACAAGUCAUUUGUUUUGCGUUUCAUGAGAGUCGCUUACUUAUGGAAACAUGUCAAGAGGCCAAGAACCUUAGAAAAAUUGUCACUUUGUUCUACUUAGAUUGAAGUCUCAACUUCGAGGUUUCAUCAUUUACAAUUGCGGAAAAGAGCAGUGAAAAUUAUUGUUAUUAAUUUGAGUAUUCAUAAAUGAAAUUUUUAUUGCCUUGAAGAUA